AGGAUGAACGCUAGCUACAGGCUUAACACAUGCAAGUCGAGGGGAAACGACAUCGAAAGCUUGCUUUUGAUGGGCGUCGACCGGCGCACGGGUGAGUAACGCGUAUCCAACCUGCCCAUCACUUGGGGAUAACCUUGCGAAAGUAAGACUAAUACCCAAUGAUAUCUCUAGAAGACAUCUGAAAGAGAUUAAAGAUUUAUCGGUGAUGGAUGGGGAUGCGUCUGAUUAGCUUGUUGGCGGGGUAACGGCCCACCAAGGCGACGAUCAGUAGGGGUUCUGAGAGGAAGGUCCCCCACAUUGGAACUGAGACACGGUCCAAACUCCUACGGGAGGCAGCAGUGAGGAAUAUUGGUCAAUGGACGAGAGUCUGAACCAGCCAAGUAGCGUGCAGGAUGACGGCCCUAUGGGUUGUAAACUGCUUUUAUAAGGGAAUAAAGUGAGAGUCGUGACUCUUUUUGCAUGUACCUUAUGAAUAAGGACCGGCUAAUUCCGUGCCAGCAGCCGCGGUAAUACGGAAGGUCCGGGCGUUAUCCGGAUUUAUUGGGUUUAAAGGGAGCGUAGGCCGGAGAUUAAGCGUGUUGUGAAAUGUAGACGCUCAACGUCUGCACUGCAGCGCGAACUGGUUUCCUUGAGUACGCACAAAGUGGGCGGAAUUCGUGGUGUAGCGGUGAAAUGCUUAGAUAUCACGAAGAACUCCGAUUGCGAAGGCAGCUCACUGGAGCGCAACUGACGCUGAAGCUCGAAAGUGCGGGUAUCGAACAGGAUUAGAUACCCUGGUAGUCCGCACGGUAAACGAUGGAUGCCCGCUGUUGGUCUGAAUAGGUCAGCGGCCAAGCGAAAGCAUUAAGCAUCCCACCUGGGGAGUACGCCGGCAACGGUGAAACUCAAAGGAAUUGACGGAAGGG
rnacentral:rRNA from 1 species